CAGACUUCAUCGACUCCUUCUUGACCAGUUUGAUGUAGAAAGCCGAGGGUAGGAUGAAGACCAGCAUGGAAGCAGCAGAGGCGCCUGACAAAAAGAAAAUCACAAAGGUCUUCUGCCCUCUAGUGGGAAAUCUGCUAACUACAGGCUGUGAAUGGUUGAGACACCUCUGCCCAGUAACUCAUGAGGAUACUAACCGAAGAAGCCAAACAUAUCCUUGAUGGUGGGGACAAAGAUGACCAGAGCGUUGGUGCCACCCAGCAGAACCAGGGUGAUGAUGAAGUGACGAACCCAGCUGAAGUCCUUAUGGGAGCCCAGGAGGUGGAUGAUUGAGGUACGAAUCUGUGGAGAAGAACAGAAGGGUCACCUCAGAGGUGUUACUUCUACUGACAGAUCGUAGAAGUGACUCAAGAGUCCUAAAACUUACGGGGAAGAGAACCACGGGGACAGUGAGGGUGACGGCAGCCAGCACGGCCAGACGGACGAUCAGCAGCAGAACAUCGUCUUUGUAGAUCUUAGAGUACGUGUGCAGCAGCUCGGCCUCAACGUUGACUGUGAAGGACAACAGAGAGAACCUUAAUCACAGCUGGAGAAACCUAAACGUAUUGUUUUCCUGAUAUAUGCUCUUUUAUAACCAGGGAGACGUUCCUGAUACAUUUCAGAUACAUGCAUCAGGUGGCUUUUUCACAGCGUUGCAUAAGUGGCCCCAAAUACCACGACUAAAUAUGAACCCAACAUUGAUUAACACGAGCUUUGUUCCUCUGUGAGACUCACUGUUGAAGGUGAGGUAUCCGAAGAGGGCAGCCAGCAGGUACAUGAUGAACAUGGCCGUGAAGGACACGUUGGCCACGUUCUGCAUCUUCUUACGAGAGCGGCUGUUGAGGAAAGCACAGAGAGGAUGUCUUGUUAGACAAAAGGCCCGACUGUUAUCGUUCCUGGGAACAUGGAGGCUUUUGCACUUACUCUUUGAGCUCCUCGUACAUGGGCAGGAUGGUAGGGUGGCACACAAAGGCAAAGAUCAGGAUGGGCAGAGCGUAGACCGUCUGGAAGGAGCCAAACAUCACAUUAGAUUCCCACCAUUUCACUCCAGAUUUUCAGAUUCACGAAUCUAAGAGUUUACCUGUGAGUUGAUGACCACGUAUUUUGGUGUGCAGACAUCCUCGGUGGAGUUGAUGGUGCUGGGGGUGCUGUUAGCCAUUAGCGCGGUUUCAUUCACAGCAUCGAGGAAAGGCAGAGGGCACGGGAUCUGGAACUUCUUUAUGAUCACCUAAAGGAAAAAGAUAAACAUGUUUAUGAUUUCAGCUUUAAUAAAAAAAAACUGGACAUGA